UGGGGAAUAUUGGGCAAUGGGCGCAAGCCUGACCCAGCCAUGCCGCGUGAGUGAUGAAGGCCUUCGGGUCGUAAAGCUCUGUGGGGAGGGAAGAAACCGCUUACUGAUAAUACCAGUGAGUCUUGACGGUACCUCCUUAGCAAGCACCGGCUAACUCCGUGCCAGCAGCCGCGGUAAUACGGAGGGUGCAAACGUUGCUCGGAAUCAUUGGGCGUAAAGCGCACGUAGGCGGCCUGUUAAGUCGGAUGUGAAAGCCCUGGGCUCAACCCAGGAAGUGCAUACGAAACUGGCAGGCUUGAAUAUGGAAGAGGGUCGCGGAAUUCCCGGUGUAGAGGUGAAAUUCGUAGAUAUCGGGAGGAACACCAGUGGCGAAGGCGGCGACCUGGGCCAAUAUUGACGCUGAGGUGCGAAAGCGUGGGGAGCAAACAG
rnacentral:rRNA from 1 species